rnacentral:rRNA from 1 species
UACGUAGGGUGCGAGCGUUGUCCGGAAUUAUUGGGCGUAAAGGGCUCGUAGGCGGUUUGUCGCGUCGGGAGUGAAAACCAGGUGCUUAACACCUGGCUUGCUUUCGAUACGGGCAGACUAGAGGUAUGCAGGGGAGAACGGAAUUCCUGGUGUAGCGGUGAAAUGCGCAGAUAUCAGGAGGAACACCGGUGGCGAAGGCGGUUCUCUGGGCAUUACCUGACGCUGAGGGGCGAAAGUGUGGGGAGCGAACAGG